rnacentral:lncRNA from 1 species
CAAAACACAAGGCAAUCAUGUAGUUUUUCAUACCUGAUUUAGCUCUGAUUUAUAAUGAGUAUAAAUGUAUUCAUUUGGUUGCUUUUGCAGAUUAUUCACAUCGAUGUUACGUUGAGUCUACAAUGUUUGAGCAGGAAGGGCCUUUGCGAUGAUGUAACACAACAUUGUCCAUUUCAAGAAUCCUCUCUACAACAACCCUGUAAGAUGGUCAUCCAUCCUCUCCAAAGAGACCUUGGCUACUGGAAAAUCUGAACCCACAAAUGUGGUUUGCAUAUUUCUAUUGGACAGCCCCGAACUAGCAAGAGCAUGGACACAGAGAUGAGAAAAUGGCCUGGACUGAGAUGCGGUAGAGGAUAAAACGUCAGAAACAAGGACAGGUAGAGUGGCUGGCGAGGGAGAUGGAAAACAAGAAGGGAGUGGUGUUCAGGAAUGAACUGAAGAGUGUUUCAGGGAGAGAGAUCAUCUGCGUGGAUGGCUACUGGGGAGAAGGGUCAAUGAAAACAGGAAAGCCCCUGUUGGGUUAUAUGGAAGGAGGACCUGGUAUAUAUCUGAAUCCCCAGUACUUGGCAUAUUAAAAAACUUAGUAUAUGCUUAU